GGAUCGAAUUGUUGGUCGUGCCUCGGUACGCACUGGCAUUAUCGGUUCCUACCUUCUGAAGAACCGCGAUGUCAUUAAUUUGGUGUCGUGGGGAAUCAGGACUGUUACUUUGAAAAUUAGAGUGUUUAAAGCAGGCUUACGCUUGAAUACAUUAGCAUGGAAUAAUAAAAUAGGACGAUGGUUCUAUUUUGUUGGUUUUAGGACCACGUAAUGAUUAAUAGGGAUAGUUGGG
rnacentral:rRNA from 1 species